GACGUAGGGCGCGAGCGUUGUCCGGAUUUAUUGGGCGUAAAGAGCUCGUAGGCGGCUUGUCGCGUCGAAUGUGAAAACCCGAGGCUCAACUUCGGGUUUGCAUUCGAUACGGGCAGGCUAGAGUUCGGUAGGGGAGACUGGAAUUCCUGGUGUAGCGGUGAAAUGCGCAGAUAUCAGGAGGAACACCGGUGGCGAAGGCGGCUAACUGGUCCGGUACUGACGCUGAGGUGCGAAAGCGUGGGGAGCAAACAGG
rnacentral:rRNA from 1 species